rnacentral:rRNA from 1 species
UCAGUUCAGACUGCAGGCUGCAACUCGCCUGCACGAAGUCGGAAUUGCUAGUAAUCGUAGGUCAGCAUACUACGGUGAAUACGUUCCCGGGCCUUGUACACACCGCCCGUCAAGCCAUGGAAGCCGGGGGUGCCUGAAGUGCGCUGCCGCGAGGAGCGCCCUAGGGUAAAACCGGUGACUGGGGCUAAGUCGUAACAAGGUAGC